UUUCUUGUAAGCUUUCAUGUUCAUCCUCCUUGGGAAAGGAUGAGAUCCUUGAGUGUCCUAUUACUGAUCCUGUGGCUUCACUUGAGAUGGCUGAGCGGCCAACAGAAGGUGGAGCAGCACCCUGAGUCCCUCAGUGUUCCAGUGGGAACCACAGCCUCUCUCAACUGCACUUACAGAGACACUGCUUCUCAGUACUUCAGAUGGUACAGACAGUAUUCUGGGAAGGGCCCUGAGCUGCUGGUGUCUGCAUACUCCAAUGGUGAUAAAGAUGAGGGAAGAUUCACAGUGCAACUCAACAAAGCCAGCCUUUAUCUUUCCCUGCACAUCAGAGGCUCCCAGCUCAGUGACUCAGCCACCUACCUCUGCGCAGUGAGUGCACAGUGCUCUCCAGACACCUGCAGCCUGCACCCAAACCUACCAGAAACCAGAAAAGUCUGAAAUGGAGCACAGACCCCAGGCAGAGCAGUUUGGCUGGGCUCUCGAUGACGUGGGCAUUGAGAGCAAUUGUAGGGAGGGUUUGAUUGAAUAUUUUUCUCUAAGAGGAUUUAAAAAUAUUAAUUGUAAAAUUAUUAAUAUGGUUUAAAUCUUUUCCAGUUUUCUCUUAAUAUUCCAACUAAAACCUUUUAAUUAAGGAAUGCACAAAAAGGUCCCUUUAAUGUCUAAAUCUUGAGGA